GGAUCCAGACUUUGAUUCUGGCUCAGGAUGAACGCUAGCUACAGGCUUAACACAUGCAAGUCGAGGGGAAACGAUAUUGGAAGCUUGCUUCCGAUAGGCGUCGACCGGCGCACGGGUGAGUAACGCGUAUCCAACCUGCCCAUCACUUGGGGAUAACCUUGCGAAAGUAAGACUAAUACCCAAUGAUAUCUCUAGAAGACAUCUGAAAGGGAUUAAAGAUUUAUCGGUGAUGGAUGGGGAUGCGUCUGAUUAGCUUGUUGGCGGGGUAACGGCCCACCAAGGCGACGAUCAGUAGGGGUUCUGAGAGGAAGGUCCCCCACAUUGGAACUGAGACACGGUCCAAACUCCUACGGGAGGCAGCAGUGAGGAAUAUUGGUCAAUGGGCGAGAGCCUGAACCAGCCAAGUAGCGUGCAGGAUGACGGCCCUAUGGGUUGUAAACUGCUUUUAUAAGGGAAUAAAGUGAGCCUCGUGAGGCUUUUUGCAUGUACCUUAUGAAUAAGGACCGGCUAAUUCCGUGCCAGCAGCCGCGGUAAUACGGAAGGUCCGGGCGUUAUCCGGAUUUAUUGGGUUUAAAGGGAGCGUAGGCCGGAGAUUAAGCGUGUUGUGAAAUGUAGAUGCUCAACAUCUGCACUGCAGCGCGAACUGGUUUCCUUGAGUACGCACAAAGUGGGCGGAAUUCGUGGUGUAGCGGUGAAAUGCUUAGAUAUCACGAAGAACUCCGAUUGCGAAGGCAGCUCACUGGAGCGCAACUGACGCUGAAGCUCGAAAGUGCGGGUAUCGAACAGGAUUAGAUACCCUGGUAGUCCGCACGGUAAACGAUGGAUGCCCGCUGUUGGUCUGAAUAGGUCAGCGGCCAAGCGAAAGCAUUAAGCAUCCCACCUGGGGAGUACGCCGGCAACGGUGCAACUCAAAUGAAUUGACGG
rnacentral:rRNA from 1 species